rnacentral:rRNA from 1 species
AGCAGUGGGGAAUAUUGGACAAUGGGCGCAAGCCUGAUCCAGCAAUGCCGCGUGGAUGAAGAAGGUCUUCGGAUUGUAAAGUCCUUUCGGCGGGGACGAUGAUGACGGUACCCGCAGAAGAAGCCCCGGCUAACUUCGUGCCAGCAGCCGCGGUAAUACGAAGGGGGCUAGCGUUGCUCGGAAUGACUGGGCGUAAAGGGCGCGUAGGCGGAUUGAUCAGUCGGGCGUGAAAUUCCUGGGCUUAACCUGGGGGCUGCGUUCGAGACGGUUGGUCUAGAGUUUGGAAGAGGGUCGUGGAAUUCCCAGUGUAGAGGUGAAAUUCGUAGAUAUUUGGGAAGAACACCGGUGGCGAAGGCGGCGACCUGGUCCUUGACUGACGCUGAGG